UAUACCGACUCCGAGCCAACCCGUCCUUGUUGUGCCCAUUAAUGCCGAUCGCCAGGCAGGGACCAACAAGUACCAUAUUUUAAGGUCUUUCGGUAUGACGAGGCCGGGGAUGGAACGCGCGACCUUCAGCUCUAUAAGCAGACGCAUAAACACU